CUAUAGCCCCGAUUGUAGUGUAAAUCCCGCAAGCAAUGGCGUGGCCAUGCUGAGGAAUUGCAACGGAAAGCGGGAGGAAAC
rnacentral:sRNA from 2 species